UUUCUCUUAGCUUAAGUAAAGUGUCAAUUUGAAGCGUUGAAGAUAAUUAUAUUAGGGAAAC
rnacentral:tRNA from 1 species